rnacentral:rRNA from 1 species
AUGCCCGCUCCUAUUCGCGCCCAUGCCCGAGCCUUCAGCUCUUCUUCCGCGCCCGCGGGGCCACUCCCUCUCUGGUUCUCCAUGCCCAUGCACGUGCCACACCGCGUCCGUCGUGCCCGUCGUUGCCAUCACGCUCGCCGCAGCCACCGCACCACUGUGCCCCGCGCGACGCACACCCUGACCGCGUGUCACACUCUCGCUGGCUGCGCUCGCCCCGUCUGCUGCCGCCUAUCCCUUCGCUCGCCCCGCUGUCGCGCCCCUGCCUCGUGCCGCCUCCUGUCGCGGCCAUCUUCUGCCGGCCGCCCCCUCAGCCACGCUAGCCGCAUCUUUGCCCUUCACCGUCGGCCGCUUGCCUCGCCUGCUGCAUGCUUCUUCCUGCUGCUAUGUGCUGCUCUACCACUGGUACGCUGUUGCGCCAUGCCCUCGACACCGCUGUGGACAAAUGUGGCGGAGGGAUUGUCAAUGGAGUACGAGGAGGAGGUGGCGGAGAAGGUGUGGAGAGGCAAGAGGUCUAGGGUGGCGUCAGCUGGCUGUGGUGGAGCCGUCCUCUCGAUCUCAUCUGGACAUCCAGCCCCACCCCGCCCCUCACCGCCGUCUGCCGUCGUGCGCCGCCGCCGCCGCCUACCCCGCCGGCGCGCCUACCCCUACACCAAGUGCCAAUACACCCGCGCCCAUCCAUUACCGGGGACUCGCGGCCUUCUACCGCCGGCGGCACGCAACGUCGCGGCCAUUGGCGGCUCCCCGACCUUGCUACCAUGGCGCUUCCGGGACUCCUCCCUGCUAGGGAGAGGAGGAAAGCUAGGUGGCAAGGCGAGGCCGGGGCUGGGCGCUGGCUCUCCCGAUCCAGACGGGAUCGAGGCAGGGCAUGGGCGGCUUGGGCGCACUGCGCGUGGAGGCUUGUGGGGCGCGGGGCGUUCGUCCGAUCUAGAUGCUUCUGCACCACUUCUGGUUGGGUUCUGUAAGUACUGCAGUGCUUACGAUGGACGUCAACCAAGGAAGAAGGCGCAAACAGGUGAUGAAGAAGGCGUAACCAAGGCGUGGGAGAGUUUAAAUGAGUGGAGAGGAAUUUGGGCUUUAGGCCUUGUAAUAGUUUGGGCCAUGGGCCUUAGCAAGUUGGCGGUUGUGGAUGACAUUUGCGCGAAGCUGGCAUCGCUGGAUGUGAAGCUCACGGAGCAAGCGGCGCGCCUGGAUCAAGUGCAUGUCAAGGUGGAUCUGUCCUGCGACACGUUGGGGCAAGUGCAGCAGGGACAGCUUCAUGCGGCGAGAGGAGACAAGACCACAGGGCAAGGCGAGAGCUCUUCACCCACAGCAUUGGAGGUCUCGGAUGGGAUUCUGGGCACAGGACCGCGGUAUAGGCAGCCACCACCACCACCUCCACCACCACUUCAGGUACCGGUUACAUUGCCUGUUGUUCAGUUGCCGAUGUCGUUCGCGGUCGAGGAGAGUGGUAACAAACGCCAGUGGAUGCCUAAGAUGGAUUUUUCGAGGUUCGAUGGUUCUGAUGUGCGGAUUUGGUUGGAUAGAUGCGAGGCUUUCUUCCAGUUAUAUCACAUACCUGAAAAUUUCAAGGUUACUUCUGCUUCUCUGUACCUGACGGAUAAUGCUGCACAUUGGUACCAAGCGUUCAAGCAGACUGCGGCAUUCCAUACUUGGGAACAAUUUUGUGAGGCCAUUAUGAAGGAAUUUGAUGUGGACGUUUACCGUCAGAAGAUGAAGGAGCUGAUGCUACUCAAGCAGACUGGUACUGUCGAAGAAUAUAAGCACCAGUUCAUGCACUUGGUGUAUACGGUCAGGUUGUAUGAGCCGACAAUCAGCGACACAUUUCUGAUCACUCGAUUUGUGAUGGGACUGAAGGACGAACUUCGAGCUGGGGUAGAAGUUCAGAUACCUUCUACAGUACAAAUGGCUGCCCUGUAUGCCUCAGUUCAGGAAGGAUUAUUGCUGCAACAAAAAACUCCUAAGCCACCUUUCUCCAAGAGUUCAUACACAAAGACUGACAGUCACACGUGUAACCAACCCACUGUUCCAGCAGGUCAACUCAAGGCUGCAGAAAUGGUGGAUCCUCAUGAGAUUAUCUCUGAUGCAGUGUUUGAUGCUCUUGUGACAAAUGGUCAUGAGGAAUGUGCAGCUUUAUCAGCAACAGCAUUGUCAGGAGCACCUCACCCCGGAACAAUUCAGUUGAGGGCAUUGCCGUUGGAUCUGUCUCUACCGGGUAUAAUUCCAGAAGCAGUGCUCGAUCGGCGACUGGUGAAAAAAGGGAACAACUCUCACUUGCAAGUGUUGAUAAAAUGGGCUACAAUACCACCGUCGUCAGCCACCUGGGAAGAUUAUGACGUGCUCAAGGCGCGUUAUCCAGCGGCACCAGCUUGGGGACAAGCUGGUUCUUCAGGGGCGGGUACUGGUUGGCGCCCCGUGUCUGCGCCCCAUAAGCUUGGACGGAGCUCCGACGCGGCCAUGUUGGCCUUGCAGAUGAGCUCCAAAUGUGGCCAAUCCUCUGAAGAUUCAAUGGAAUCUGAUGUUAAUGCCUGCAGGCUGCAGUUGUUGAUCACUCAGAGACUCAAAGUGGUCGGACCCUUCCCUGGACCCUGCGCAAGCGGGAGCUACAUGCACCAGUGUAUUGGUGCCAAUGCUGCAUUUGGAGUUGGAGAGGCCGAGGCCACCUGCUGCAAGAGGCAAAUGGUCAACUACAGCCGCAAGAGAGGAUCACAGGUGUUCUGCCGGCAGUUUCAAUUUAGUCAGGCAGUUGCCAUCAUCGUGAGACUGCCGACUGGAGGAACUACAAUGGCUCUUUGUUCCAGCCAUAUCCGAUCCCCUGGGCUGGAGCUUUCCGGUCACCUGAAGAGCAUGGUGCAUGGGGCGUGCCGUUGGCGUCUGCCUGGAUGGGGACACGGGCCACCUUCGCUGUAUAGUCGCCGACUAAUCGCCAAGUCGUUUUCCAAAAAUCAGGGUACAGCGACUUAUGGCGACUAUACAGCGACUUUCGUCGACUAUACGCUGAGCCGCAGGGCUCGCGGCGACUCGCCAAGUCGCGACUCAAAAACCUUGGUCUCGGGGGUGUGGCUUCUACUGAAUUUUCGACACCACCAACUCCUGGAGGGGAGGCGGGACGGACGGCAGCGGCAUUCUAUUCGGGGUUGCGUCGAUCUGGUGAUGCUGGAGCAUACAGGAAACAUCACCUCCACCACGACCUCCACCACGACAUUUCAAGUGCAACGGAGUUGCCUUUUGCCCUCCCCUCCACCCUUUCCGGAUAGCUAUGUCCCACCAUCAGCAUUAGAACAAGAGAAAGAGAACCUCCCCAUGUGGCCACGUCUUCAAACAGAACCUCCCCACGCCUCCACCGCCAGAUCACCCUCCCCUGUGCUUCUCCUGCACCGCCGUGCGGGCGUCGGCGCCUUCCCGGCGAGCCGAGCAUCAUGCACCAAGGAGGCAUCCGUAUUCCCUUCUCACACGCUGCCGAUGCCGCGGAGCCGCGGAGGCGCUGCUAUCGCUCGCGAUUUGAUGUAA